AUAUACAUGACAUCUUCAUAAGAACAAUAUAAGAUUCGCCAAGAAGGAGUUUUGUCGUUUGGGAAAAGGAUGCAUGUAAUACUAUCAAUAAUUGCAAACAUUUAUCCAUUCAAAAGCUGACUACCCAGAAGUAUAAAAACUACAGGAACAAGUGAUAAUGAUUGGUGCACCUAUUAAAAAGUUCUGGAGGCUGCAAUGUCCAAGAUCA